GUGCUUCAGCAGCACCUAUACUAAAAUCGAAACGAUGCAAUGCAGAGGUUAGCGUGUAAUCCCUGGGCAGGGGUGAUAUGCAAUUUCGUAAAGCAUUCCAUAUUUUU
ensembl:snRNA U6 U6 spliceosomal RNA